CAGCAGCCGCGGUAAUACGGAGGGUGCAAGCGUUAAUCGGAAUUACUGGGCGUAAAGCGCACGCAGGCGGUUUGUUAAGUCAGAUGUGAAAUCCCCGAGCUUAACUUGGGAACUGCAUUUGAAACUGGCAAGCUAGAGUCUUGUAGAGGGGGGUAGAAUUCCAGGUGUAGCGGUGAAAUGCGUAGAGAUCUGGAGGAAUACCGGUGGCGAAGGCGGCCCCCUGGACAAAGACUGACGCUCAGGUGCGAAAGCGUGGGGAGCAAACAGGAUUAGAUACCCCUGUAGUCCCUGUCUCUUAUAU
rnacentral:rRNA from 1 species